rnacentral:rRNA from 1 species
AGUGAACGCUGGCGGUAGGCCUAACACAUGCAAGUCGAACGGCAGCACAGUAAGAGCUUGCUCUUACGGGUGGCGAGUGGCGGACGGGUGAGGAAUACAUCGGAAUCUACUUUUUCGUGGGGGAUAACGUAGGGAAACUUACGCUAAUAACGCAUACGACCUACGGGUGAAAGCAGGGGAUCUUCGGACCUUGCGCGAUUGAAUGAGCCGAUGUCGGAUUAGCUAGUUGGCGGGGUAAAGGCCCACCAAGGCGACGAUCCGCAGCUGGUCUGAGAGGAUGAUCAGCCACACUGGAACUGAGACACGGUCCAGACUCCUACGGGAGGCAGCAGUGGGGAAUAUUGGACAAUGGGCGCAAGCCUGAUCCAGCCAUACCGCGUGGGUGAAGAAGGCCUUCGGGUUGUAAAGCCCUUUUGUUGGGAAAGAAAAGCAUCAGGUUAAUACCCCGCUGUUCUGACGGUACCCAAAGAAUAAGCACCGGCUAACUUCGUG